CCUACGGGGGGCAGCAGUGGGGAAUAUUGCACAAUGGGCGCAAGCCUGAUGCAGCCAUGCCGCGUGUGUGAAGAAGGCCUUCGGGUUGUAAAGCACUUUCAGCGGGGAGGAAGGCGUUAAGGUUAAUAACCUUGUCGAUUGACGUUACCCGCAGAAGAAGCACCGGCUAACUCCGUGCCAGCAGCCGCGGUAAUACGGAGGGUGCAAGCGUUAAUCGGAAUUACUGGGCGUAAAGCGCACGCAGGCGGUCUGUCAAGUCGGAUGUGAAAUCCCCGGGCUCAACCUGGGAACUGCAUUCGAAACUGGCAGGCUAGAGUCUUGUAGAGGGGGGUAGAAUUCCAGGUGUAGCGGUGAAAUGCGUAGAGAUCUGGAGGAAUACCGGUGACGAAGGCGGCCCCCUGGACAAAGACUGACGCUCAGGUGCGAAAGCGUGGGGAGCAAACAGGAUUAGAUACCCGAGUAGUC
rnacentral:rRNA from 1 species